UGACCACCACCGGUGCAGCCAUGGAAGAUGAUGAAAUGGAGGAAGCACCUCUGGAUCUAGGACCACCUGAGAUUAUUAUGAACCUCACGGAAGUGACCACUGAGUACCUCGUUGAACAGGAUGUGGCCGUGGAGAGAAACAGAGAGAGAAACAAAGAGGAACAACGUCACACCAGCCCCCAGAUCCACUCAACUCAUUUCAGCAGAGGCUCUCCUCCAAGCCGUCGAGAGGGAUGCAGCCCAACCUGAUGCUCACAGGAAGGAGGAUGAAGAGACCCUCUUUGCCAUGAGCCUGGUGCCAACACUGAAGAGGCUGCCUCAGCAAAGAAAAGCAGCAGUCAAGGUUAAAAUGUAUCAGCUGCUUUUCGAAGCCGAGUUCAAUGAAAUGGAGUCAAUUUAGCCGACCUGCUCACAGGAAGGACAGGAAGAGGAGUUGUCUGGUUGUUGUUUUGACCUCCCUCGUUGUACCUUUCAUUUCACACACAUCAGUUCUGUUUAAAUUCAGUCAAUUAAUUUGUUUAUAAAGUCUUAGGAUAGUACUCAUUAUUAGUGUUACAUAGAUUUCUCAAUUGAAACUCAUACAGAGUUUUCACAGAUGCUCUUGGUCUCUUGCGAGACUAAAGGUCAAUAUAUUUCUUUAAUUUAAAACCACUUGAAAACCAGGGUGUUGCAACUUUUUGUGAAGUUAUGUUCCAUCAACUGGUCCGUGACGUCCAGGGGCCAUUUGUUUGUUUAGCUGUGUUAUAGCUACAUAUUAUGACAGAGACACACACACACCUCUUCGUACCUCAGAUCUCCAGUGCCCUGCCCUCUCUCUCUUUAUGGCCAUGUCUGAAGUUCCCCUACUACGUCUAGGCUUUAUGAGUAGUCCCUGUAUCGGUCUGCAGUUGUGCCAAAAAUACAUGCUCUUGUUGUUCUCUUACAGAUUACAGGCUACACAUUCAU